rnacentral:rRNA from 1 species
CCAAUUGAGAUUUUAACACGAAGUGAGUGGCGAACGGGUGAGUAACACGUGGGUAACCUGCCCAGAAGUAGGGGAUAACACCUGGAAACAGAUGCUAAUACCGUAUAAUAGAGAAAACCGCAUGGUUUUCUUUUGAAAGAUGGCUCUGCUAUCACUUCUGGAUGGACCCGCGGCGCAUUAGCUAGUUGGUAAGGUAAAGGCUUACCAAGGCAGUGAUGCGUAGCCGACCUGAGAGGGUAAUCGGCCACAUUGGGACUGAGACACGGCCCAGACUCCUACGGGAGGCAGCAGUAGGGAAUCUUCCACAAUGGACGCAAGUCUGAUGGAGCAACGCCGCGUGAGUGAAGAAGGGUUUCGGCUCGUAAAGCUCUGUUGUUAAAGAAGAACGUGGGUGAGAGUAACUGUUCACCCAGUGACGGUAUUUAACCAGAAAGCCACGGCUAACUACGUGCCAGCAGCCGCGGUAAUACG